rnacentral:tRNA from 1 species
GCCCUGGUGGUGGAAUUGGUAGACACGCUGUCUUGAGGGGGCAGUGGAGAGAUCCGUCCCGGUUCGAAUCCGGGCCAGGGCA